GAAGGCCGUGGCUGAGGACUCCCUGAUGACCCAGCCCCUGCUGUGUUCAGAGGCCACAUGGCCUGACCACAACACCACCCCACUCGGAAGUGGAGCGGCCUUCUCUUCAACUUCUUGCUCUUAGUGUGGGUUUAUAUCCCAAUUUUGUUUCUGUAAAAAAUAAUUUCUAGAUCUUAUUGUAUUUACAUUAAGUGUAAAAGGAGUCAGAUUUAAUGUUUCCUAUUCUAUCUGCCUGCUUUAACAAGAAUCAUUUUGAAUUUAUAUUUGCUGCUGCAGCUCUUUAGAACUUAAAAACUACACAAAACCAUCAAUUAUAUAACAUGUUACUUUUUGAACACAAAGGUUAAUUAAUUUAUUUUGCGGGGGGGAGCGUGUAAUUGACUGAGCAAAGUGAGGCUUCAGUUUGUGGCAAAUGUUCAGCUUCUGGUGUUGAUGUUUUUGGAUGUGUCCUUUCGCUACUACUCAUAGUUAUAAAAUUUGGUAUGUAUAUUCGGGAUCUUAAUCUACAGUUCAGGUUCAAAAAACUGUCUCUUCAUCUACCCCAAGCCUGUGGGCCUAAUUAGCUUCCCCAUUCAGUGUAAUAACAUUCCCAUAAUCCUUUUAUCCUAUUCUUUAUUUGAAUGUUAGAAAAGAAUUGCUUCCCUUUGUGGCCUAUCUUUAAUUUUUAAAAAAAACCCUUUCUACUAUAAGAUUGCUUAUUUAAUCAGUUUCUAAAACUGGACUUUAAAACCAUUUUCACAAAUAACUAGGAAAUGAAUUUUGUUAUAACCAAUACACCUUAAAACUAUGUCAAAUAUGUUUUAAACCGGAAAUCCAAUACAUCUGAUACUGGUGCCGCAUACAUGAAUACUCUGAGUGGCCUCUUAUAUGAGGCUUCAUAAAAACCUCAUACCCAUCACAAAUGAGUCCUCAAUUCUCAAGGGCGGGGUGGGUGAGAAGCAGCAAGGAAGCAGUGACUUAUGUGACACUUUGCAAGUUUUGCAUGGCCUUGAAGUGCUAACACAGGUUGAUUGGCCUCUGCAAAGCAGUAGAGAGGUCCAGUGUAUGGCAGGAUGCUUCCUAGAACCCCCUUGAACAAAGAUGGAACCUGGAGAUGGAACCCCCAUCAGUCCCAGCUAGCAUGGGCAAUAGUCAGGGAACUGUAGUCCAACAAUAGCUGGGGGCUAUUCUGGCACCAGACGCUACUCUAGAUUCUGAUACCCCCCCCCCUGCCAACUCUGCAGGUGAAUGACCCCAGGUAGAACCCUAAACCCUUCAAUAACUUCUAGGCUGAGCAAAAUUCAGCAACAACUUUAUAGCUGACAGGUAAAUCAGUCUGCUGGCUAGAAUGGGUUGCAUAGUUUCCAUGUGCACAUGAACUGCAUCCCUGGACCACCUUAGCCAGAGGCCUUGUACGUCGUGUUCAUAUUUUUCUAGAAUAAGGCAUACUGAAUUAAAGAGAUUUGCUCUUUAUAAGAAGCAGCACAUUCUCUGCCUUAUUCAUAUGAAUGAAAUAGUGCAUUUGCACAUGAAUUUCAUAGUCUUUAAAGAUGCUAAAGUGCUUUGCCACUCUCAUGACCAUUUUACACCUGCAGCACAAUCAAUCUGCAUAUUUUUUUCUAAAUCAAGCCAAUUGGUCUGAACAUCUUUGCUGCAGAUCGUUUUCCUUGACAGUUCAGUAAUAAUAGUAUAUCAUUUAGAAGAGAAACUUUUCCUUUUUAAAUGGACCCAGCUGUACCAGUACGAUAGCUAUAUCGUACUUUUGAAUCAUAAUAAAAGAUGUAAUUCCCAGUGGCAUUUAGUGUCAAGUCUACUUCUACCAACAGCUAGAAUCCUGUCCCAAUUUGUUUAGUUAAUCGUGCAGUCACUUGAAGUAGUGCAUCAAAUCUCUUUCUUUCCCAUUUGUUUCCUUUUACAUUUAUUUAGUUUCAUGAGAUCUAAGAAUGAGAAUCAUGUAAUUAAAGGCUUGUGCUGAUAGCCUACCAGCUGCAACAUUCUUCAACAACAUUAUUUACAUUCAAAUAUAGGUCCUACAUUUAGAUUUCCUUUCUUUCUUUUAAAAAAUAUUUUUAGAUCCCCCCCCCAAAAAAAACCCCUAGAUAUCUUGAGAUUGCAUCAAAGGCUAGCCUCUGUUGUUAUGGUCACAUUGUUGACAUAUUAGUUGAAAAGAGCAUCUGUUCCGUUUAUCUAGCACCUUGCAUAUUACCGGUAUUUAUGGAAUCAAUUAAAACAGAUCAGUGGCAGUCUGAAGCAGUUUGGCAAGGUAGAAUAUUAACCUUGCUGAAUUUAGUAGUUCACACACGCAGUAACAUUUCUUAUUCUGUCAUCAUUUAGUUAGUCAGCAUGUAAUGACUUAAAGCUGAAUAUGAAGAAUUUAUCCUUUGAAAAGUAUUGUGACUGAGGAAACUGUGGCUGCUAGUAUGGAAGUUCUGUUUGUGAUGAAUAACCAGAGAUGGCUUAUUGGCACAUGUAAGGCAUCAUGAUACUAUAGUCAAUAGCCCUAUCCAUGCAGUCAAAAGCCGAGUUCCACUCCUCUGUCAACAUAGCGGACAAGGCCCUGCAUAUGACUAAUGAGUGACUAGGACUAAUGACAAACAAAUAGGAAUGUGUUAAUAGGUGCCUUUAAUUUUUUACCUAAAGAUGCUUUGAAUGUGUCCAGUUAUUGUAGACUUGUUAUCUACUACCAUAUUUUGAAGACUGCAUUGUAUCACUGCUUUACUUUUGGGUCAAGAUAGAAGCAAAGCAGAUGUUGAGCAGUUCUGCCUUCUUUUCGUCAUCCAACAGCAUUCCUCACAGAGGACCUAUUACUUGCUUGUUCUUCUUGUUUUGAACAUAGCCAAAGAAACCUUUUAAAUUGUUUUUAACCUGUCUUGCAAGCCUGAGCUCAUUCUGAGCUUUAGCCAGCCUGCUCUUCACCCUGCAACUGUUGGCUAAGUCAGCAGAGCAUCUUAAUCUCAGGUUUGUGGAUGUGAAACCCACACUGGGCAAAAGAUCCCUGCAUUUCAGGAAGCUGGACUAGAUGGCCCUCGUGGUCUCUUCUACUCCAUGAUUCUAUGAUUCUUUCUUGAUUUCUCCUUUCUUCUAUUUCGUAUACAUUCCCUUCUUACAUCUCAGUUCAUCUGUAAGCUCGUUAUUCAGCCACAUCAGUUUCUUUAGGUGCCUCUCACUUUUCUUUCUUGUUGGAAUUGUCUGCCUUUGUGCCUUCACUAUUUCACCUUUCAGAAACUGCCAUCCAUCUUCAACUCCCUUUGCUAUGAGUAUUUCUUAGAGUCCAGAGUGCAUGUCUGACUACACUCAGCUUUCCCUUGUCUGGGUAUACUGAAACCCAUGAGGACAUGAUCACUUGCUCUCAACGUUCCCCAUGCUUUCACUUCAUCAGUCAGUUCCUCCUGACAGAUGUGGGGAGGCUAAUAUUCUUGCAUUCUGGGUACAAGCAGCAGUAGUGAAAGCAUUUGGGAACAGACUGGGAGUGCGAUCCUUUUCCGCAGCCACCAACAGCAGGAACAGCUGCCACCUCCAACUGGUUCCUGCUUCAGGCAGCUGAAUGAAUGAAAUUGUUCAGCCAUUUUGUUUGUUUUCAGCUAUGCAAUGUUUAGUUUCUGUUUAUACUGUAUGCUGCUUUGCAAAGAAAGAAAGAAAGAAAGAAAGAAAGAAAGAAAGAAAUUAUAGGAAACAGAGCAAAACUAUACAGUCUUUCUGAUUGGCUAAUGAAUUAGGAACAGUUUAUAUAAGUGACACUUGGAAGCAACAUAAAAAGAAGUAUUUGCUGGAUCAGGCCAAUGGGCCAUUUAGUCCAGCAGUUUGUUCUCACGGGGAAACUUAAAAGCAGGAUUCAAGGAAAAUAGCACUCUCCCCUCCUGAGGUAUCUAGCCAGGUGCAUAUGAAGUGGGGGACAGAGGGGGUGGGUUUCCCCGGGUGCCACUCUGGGGGAGGGUGACAAGAUGGCCCCUGCCUCCCCCCAGCUGUAGAGUGGCCGAGGGCGCGCGCAGUCCAUACGGGCUGCUAUUCUUGUGCGUCUGUACAGGCUGCCUCUCGCACGGCGACUGUAUGGGAUGCCGCACAUGCACACUCAGUAUGGGCUGCCCCACCCCAGGUGCCGGAGAGGGUUCCUCUGCCACUGUUUCUAGCAACUGGAAUUCAGAAGCAUUGCUGCCUCUAAUAGCCAGGAUGGAAAGUAUGGCAGGGGACUUAGAUUCCAGGGACCAAAGAAGCUGAGCUGAAAGCAAUGGGGUUGGAAGCUGCACCAUCUAUAGACUAGGAUGAGCUGAAAGAAAUUUCUUUAUUGCUAAGACUUGGCUAAAGCAUGGAAAUGGUUUAGACAAGGAUUGUAUGAAUGUCUUUCCCUCUGCUAUUUUCCAGAGCCCAUUUUCCAGAAACAAUUGCAAAUCCCCCACCCACCCCAAAAAUUAAUUUUAAAAAACUUCCAUCUGGAUAGAAGGUUCCAAUUCUUCAGUAAAAUUGAAAUUUAUUAUUGGCGGGGCAUUGGUCUGGUGUUUUGAUCUUCAGUCAUUACCAUGUCUGAUUUUUAGCGAGGUAGCUAGGAUUAAUAUCAGAAUUACAGAUUAUAGAUGGCUGCUUCAGUGAAAGCAGUCAGGAAAUAAAGAUGUUCAUUAGGUGGCACUAAUAAGAACCACAGGAGUGGUUAUGCUUCCUAGAGUUCUUGGCUCCUUUCCUUCUCCCAGCAAAGGCUACUGCCUGUACCGCAUAAAAGGAGUUUCCCUCUUGGAUCUAUUUUUUCAUAUUUGCCAUGGAAUGCCACAUCAUAAUGAUUACAUAAUUAAAUAAUUAAUCAUGUCCUCACAAGAAAAGGACUCCACUAUUAUUGAACUCACUAGUAUAAUGAUUGUCUACAGAUCUUACCUAUAAUAUUUGGCUUGGAGUAUUAUCUUGGUAUUUUAAUUAUUAUUCUUCAACUAUAAUAUUGCUCAUAUUUAAUAUUAGUAUUUUAUUAUGUUUCACCAUCACGGAGUCAUUUUUUAUACCAAUGUUAUUCCCUGGUGGAUACUGUCCAUUUAACUAAAUCUCUGGCAGAAAUUGCAGCUUCAAUUUCAUGAUGAGAUGACAUUUAUUUAAGUAUCAUUUGCUUCAGUACAAGAGGUUUUAUCCAAAGAUGACCAGAGUUUUAUAAUAGCUAGGAAUUAAAUAUGAGAAAAAAGCAAUUACAGCAAACUGAUUUAAAUGCUUCAUCCAUUAGUUUGUUAAAGUAAGUAAAUUGUGCAUCAUCCUUCUGAGUGAAGUGAAACAGCACCAGCUGAUUAAUCAACAAGUGUGUGUGUGAAUAUCAUAUAGAAAACAUUACUCCUUAACGCCAAAAUGUCCUCUUCAUGAGAAUUAUUAUUACAUUCUAACUGCCUCACUUAGAACUUGAGCAUAUAAAAACUCACAAAGCAGUUUUGAAAGCAAAAAUGGACAGAAGUAUACACAUUUUUUCUGAUAAAAUAUGUGUGCGUUUGUAUGUCUUUGCUUUUUUAUAUCUGGUAUUCACAACAUGUGAUCAACAAAUAUUUCCCACCACCCAUGUAUGGUGACACAAAUGAAGUUCCUGUUUUUGCCUCCCUGACAAUUUAUGAAUUACCGUAUUUUUCGUCCGAUAGGACGCACCUAGUGUUUUUCCUUUAUUUCCCCCCCAAAACCAGGUCGGGGAAACUGAACCAGGUCGAGGAACAGCGGGAUGGCAGCGCUGCGCCUCCUUGCUGUCCCCCGAGCUUGUGGGGCUGGCCGAUGUCUGUCCGGCACGAGGGGCGCUCUGCUUCAGGGCGUCUAUCGCGCCGGGCGGCAGGCUGCUAUCCGCAGCGUGGGGAGCCCUGCGGGGAACUCCCACAGGGCUCCAACAUGCUGCAGAUGUCUGCCCGGCGCGAGGGGCGCUCUGCUUCAGGGCGCCCCUCGCGCCGGGUGGCAGGCUGCUAUCCGCAGUGUAGGGAGCCCUGCAGGAACUCCCGCAGGGCUGCCUAGGCUACGGAUGUAUUCCCGAAGCGCCGGGCGCUCGGCUUUCAGAGCGCCCGGCACUCCGGGAAGCAGGCUGCUAUCCGCAGCGUAGGGAGCCCUGCAGGAACUCCCGCAGGGCUGCCUAGGCUGCGGAUGUGUUCCCGAAGCCUGGAGAGCGAGAGGGGUCGGUGCGCAUCAACCCCUCUCGCUCUCCAAGCUUCAGCGAAAGCCUGCAUUCGCCCCAUAGGACGCACCCAGAUUUCUCCUUCAUUUUUGGAGGGGAAAAAGUGCGUCCUAUAGGGCGAAAAAUACGGUACUUAAUUUAGGUAAUCACUGAUAAACACAUGGUCUUGGUUACCUUUAAAGAUUAUCAAUAUCUAAAUAGUGUAUAGAUGUGCCACAUUGAAAAAGGGAAAGUAAUGAAUAGAUUGAGAGGUGCAAACUGACCCUGAGAUGCCUCAGUAGUCUUAAGUCCAAGCAGACAGGUUCCAUUUUAUCAGCACGGUGAGUAAAUUUCUCCCAUGUUGUGCCUCUUUAGUGUGGCAGUGACCUAGUCACCAACGCAGUGGCUGAGAGGUCCUUGGUACUGGUGAAGGAUGCUCUGAGUCUAAGCACCAUCACUGAACCAAACACCUCCCAAGCCCAAGCUGGUAUAGGUCCCCAGAAUGCAGAUGCCUGGGACCCCUGAGCUUGGACCAGAAACUGUAGCUCAGAGAGCAUUCAAGGCCUCAGCUGAGAAGCUUUCCUCCAAAUAAGUUGCUUGUUCUCUGUCCAUGGUCCUGAAAUACAUGAUGCUAUUCUUCUGCAUCUUCAAGGAAACUAACUUUUAUUAACCACUGCCUUAAGUAAAAGGGGUCACAAUACAAAGAAAAUUAAAGCUGCAUCAAAAUCUGCAUGUACUGCAAUCCCAUCUCCAUAACCACUGGCCAUGCUGGCUGGGGAUGAUGGGAGCUGGAGUACAGCAUCUGGAGGGCCAUAGGUUUCUUAUCCUUGAUAUAUGGUAGAGUGGUAUUAUGUCCUACUUUACAAAGGUCAGUCCUCUAUUUGAAGGUAUAAUCUGAUUUAAAGAUAAGGACUCAUGAAAAAGAAGAAGAGCAUGAUGCAUUAAGUCACUCAUCACCAGCUACCAGCAUCCAGUCAGAAGACUUAGCAGGUUCACAGGUCACCUGAUGUCUUCCCCUCCAUGGUAAGACACACUGUAUUUCUAUUUAAAUUAUAAGAAUUUUUUUCUUAAAAUGCCCUUAUCUGUAAAUUGCCACAUGAACAUUUAUCUUCUCUUUUUUUCUCUCCACUUCUUAUUUUUGGCAAUAUACAACUGGAUAUCCUGGUAUACAGCUCUAUAUUUACCACUACAUAUUAGUUUCAUAUUCCCCUAUGAAGUAGUUUGUGCUGAGAGGAAGUGACUCCCUGUAAGUUUCUUGGCUAAGUAGAAAUCUGAACAAAAGUUCCUCACACCUAAAUACAAGGCACCCUGCUGGUUUCAUGGAUGAGUUCCUUCCCAAUAAACAUUUUUAAAGCCAGUAUGUGGGAUGUUAAUAGUCUGCAUGAAAACAAUAAUCUGUAAUAUUCAAAAGGUGAAUGAUUCUUCACUGCAAAACAUUUGUUCUGUUGUUACCAUGUAACAUUUGUACAGUUAAAUGUAACACACACAACUAUGAAAAGCAGUUUUCAAGGGAUAUAUAUCUAAAGAAAGAUAACAAAAAGCACCACAUCUUCUGGGGUUCUGUAGGGAAACAAAUGAUAUUCUCAACCAAGAAGGUAGGGAUACUCUGAGCUCCAGAAUAAAUGAAUGCUGGCUAGCUUUGUAAAGCUUUUCUCUUUGGAAUGCAGAGAUAAAAUCCUGGCCAGGAUUCCAAAGAGAUGGUUUUGGUUUUUUUUAUAUAAAGGCCAGUUUUGUUGGAACAUAAUUCAUUUAAAAAAUGAUUGGCCAACCUGCAGGUUCUCUUGUCUACAAAUAGAUUGUAUUUACAGUUGUGUCAAGGGAGAGAAUAUUUCUCACAGGUGGUCAUAAUUGGUGGUCUGUCACAAUAGUUCUGCUGCCUAUAAAAUCAUUGACACAGUGCGUAUUACAGAUCCAACAUUUUUAAACACAGAAAGAGAUUGUUUGUGUAAGUAGGGAAUUCAUACAACUGGUGUACACAUUAAAAACCAAACUGGAUCCAUAUAGAGGAUUAAAAAUGACUACACAAAUUAGUGCAAUUUUUAUAUUUUGUGUGAAUCCAUUAUCUGUGUUUUACUUGAAAAUGUGUAUUUUAGAAAUAUGUGCAUUUACUAAAUGCCAUUAGUGUAGUGUUACUAAAUGGCAUUAGUGUGGUGGGGGAUCCUUUGUAGCAGAGAAAUAAUUAUUUACAUCCAAAAUAAAAAGGGAAAUCAUAACUAGGGGGAGGAAGAAUUCCCUGACUUUGUCCUAUAUGCCUCCUGAGAAGGUAAACCAGUCAUGUGAGAAUGGUUAUUAGCAACAUUACUUGAUUGUGAGGCUGUUGCUGUCUUUAUAAUGACCUUCUAAUGAUGAUAAUGUCAGGGAACUAAAGAGAAGAAGGUGAGAUAUUCAAUUAUAGCUGCAAUCAAUCUAAGCCAAGCUGUUGCUGAUAAUUAAAAAAAAAAAAGCCCAACAUGAUUGUGCCGGGCCAUUUGGUUACACUUCAAAAGUUAAAUAAUGACUUUAUGGUAUUAACUUGACACUGAGAAAUAGAUUUAAAGUUGAAGAUAGGACUACUUAAAGCUCUCAGAGUCAGUUCUCAUGUUGUGAUUAGAUGCUUAUUUCCACUUUCAGUUAUGAGGUGCAGCCCUGCAUUCCUUGCAAGAUAAAACAACAUAUUUGGGGGCACUGUCAGAUUCCACACUGCUAUGCAGAAGUCGGGAGCUGUGAGCAGUAUUUUGCAUCUUGUUGCAAAGAAUCUUGAAUAUUGCUUGCCAAUACUUGGGAGUAGGCAGGAGAGUAUAUAAGAAGGCCCCACCCAUAUCCUCCCUUCUUCUGUUGGAAGCUGGACCUCCCUCCAAGUUUACAGUAUGAAAUAACGCAGUAUGGGGCCAAGUCAUAAUUUUUAAAAUCAUAAUCUGCAAUCAGCCUGUAGAGGGGAUCUUCCCCCCUACUCAAUACUGUAGGGUGGGGCUGGAGAAGUCAGAUUGAUUAGUUUGGUCACUUGGCAGGUGUGAGAAGGAAAGAGAAGAGGCUGGUACUACAAUGGUACCUCAGGUUACAUAUGCUUCAGGUUACAGACUCCGCUAACCCAUAAAUAGUGCUUCAGGUUAAGAACUUUGCUUCAGGAUGAGAACAGAAAUCGUGCUCUAGCAGUGCGGCGGCAGCAGGAGGCCCCAUUAGCUAAAGUGGUGCUUCAGGUUAAGAACAGUUUCAGGUUAAGUACGGACCUCCAGAAUGAAUUAAGUACUUAACCCGAGGUACCACUGUAAUGGUGAGUACUCUGAGGAACUGUUCAGAUGAAUUGUGAUUCCAGAGACUAGCACACAGGGCUGUGGGAUAGUGGUGCAUGGAAUGGAUUAUUUGUGACUAAUCCAUGUCACCCUCUGAGUUAUGAGUCUCUGAGAGAGCGUGGUGCAGAAAUGUAUCCUUACUUACCUGAAGGGGUAUGGCAUGAGAAGAGAAUUGGAGUUAUGCCCACCUUUGCUCCCUGCAGCAUGGGCUUACCCAAUAAUGUCAAGUCUAGGAGCCUAGUUGUUACAAUACAUUUCCCACAUGUAGGAAAUUCUCCUGUGUAGAUUGUCAGAUCUGGUAGCCAAUGUUCUAAGCAUUCUUGGAAAACAGUUAAACGAAAUUCCCCUGGGUUUUUUAAGACAUCUUGGAAAAGCCAUACUAAUUAUGAUAUAAGACAGCAGUGGGCAUCACCUAUCACUGUUAUUCAGGGCAUCCAUUUGAAUAUAUGGGUUAAAUUAUUAGGAAAACAUUGUGUAUAUAUGCAAUGAAUAAAUACAAGUAACAGGCCUCGCUUAAUAUUUCAGCUGCAGAAUCAAUGUAUUCACACACACAGAAAACGGCAAUUCCAAGGUGACCUCUUAUAUAGUUGAGUGGUAUUUGACAUUUGUGUGUUACUGUUGGCUAAAUUCUAUUAUUGACAUUGAACUCUUGAGAUCUUUGCUCUUAAAUUGGUCAACAAAUGAUUGCUUUUAAUGCACACUCCCCCCUUCAAAGUGACAUGCUUCUGGUGCUACUAUUUCACAUUACCAGCUAUGAAAAUCAAUUUAUCUGAUGCAUGGUUGCCACUGAUGUAUCCCAUUUACUAAAAUAACUGCUUUGGCUAGGAGCAAACUCUGUACCAUUGUACUAGGUUCAGACAUAUUUGAUCACAGUUCACUUCCCAGACUGCCAUGAGUCAAGGAGACUGAAGGUGUGUGUACUUCAGCUGAGGUACAUAACUUCAGUAAUCACUAUGUGAGGACAACUGAUCCUUCUAUCAUCAGUAUAUUGCUAAACAUGCACAUCUCUUUAUAAAGAGGAUCUUGUUCUAAUGAACAAUGUACAUUAGUAAUAGAUCCAAGCUCUGUUGUCCUGUCAAACAUGGCCUUGAAGUUGAAAGAUAAUGGGCACAGCACACAUGUAGGCAAAAUAUCCACAAAAAUGCAACAUUCAAAGCUGGAACUCUUAAGCAAAAUAUAUAUAGCUUUCAUGUGUUUCAACAAUAUGUGUGGUGGGGCAGAUUCUUCCCAUUCGGCACAUAGAUGUGAAAAUAUAGCACAUAGACCCCAGCAGUUAUUCAAUGUCAAUCUCAUGUGAUAAGCAAACUCUCAUAUGGAUCCUUUAUAUAAAAACUUAACAUUAAUUUGUUUUUAAAUGAUAUUUUCUUGAAGGUAAGGGUUUUAAGGUUUGAUCUUUAGUUCUUUGCAUUUCUGAGCUACCGGUACAGUGAUUCUUAGCUCAUACAUUUCGGAGCAGUCCAGGUAAAGAAACCAAUGGAACCAUUGAAGAGUAAAUUGAGGAUUGCUUGCACAGAAGAGUAAACAUGAUUAAUGCUACAAAACCUCCCAUCUGUGAUGUCCCCUUCUCCCAUCUGUGAGGUUAGUUGAACUCAGAAAAUGCUCUGUAUAUUAAAACAAUUCCCCCUUCUGCCUCUUUUAAAUGUAGCUCUUGUUUGAUGUUGGACAAUUUUUUACUUCAGUUGCAAUGAAACUCUACUUUGGGUGCCUUAUUCCUUUACAAUGUGUGGAUUUAUUCCUUCAAGAAAGACAAUGCUUUGAGAAAGUUUCUUUUUGUCACUUGCAAGGUUGCUCCAGCUUUUAGGAACAUCUGUAGUCAAUGGGUUGUAUCCAAUGCUGUGAGCAGUGCUCCACACACACAACUUGACUUUCAUUUCCUCUCCUCUCCCUGCACUACCACCACCCCAAAUCAAAAUCUUUCCAAAAUACGCAUACAGACCAACACAUAUUUUGGUUCAUCACUAUCUUGAAUAUAUAUCUUUCUUCACUGGACACGGAUGGGGCUCAAUAAAAUGACUAUUCUCUGAGGAAGGAAAAUCACCCAGUUUUGAAAAAUAAUUGCUGUGAGCAGAAAAUCUCUGAAAGCAGCAACAACUAUAGAAGAAUAGAACCAGACACAGUACAUGAUACAAGAGAUAAGCAACUAAUUACUGGAAUGUGCAAUGGGUUCCCAGCAGUGAAAAAGUUAUUCAGCCAGUAUAACAGAAGCUUAUGCUUAUCUGCACCUAAGGAAAGAAUCUUUUCAUAUGCUAUUAUGUUUAAUCAACCAAAGAGGUGAGAUCUUGGUGACAAUCUCCUUGUGAAACUAGUUAUACUGAAGGCUAAUUCAAAGACUUAAGUUGUCAGGAUUGGUUCAAUGAAGUGUUACUUUCCCCUCAAAUUGGUACUUCUAAAAAACAACCCACAUUGCAUUAAAUGCCCCUUUUAAGUUCUUGUAAAAUGACAGAUAAGCUUUAAAGAGAUUUAACUUACAUAUACACAAGUUGCUCCAGCAUUACUAAAUACAGUGGUACCUUGGGUUACAUACGCUUCAGGUUACUGACGCUUCAGGUUACAGACUCGACUAACCCAGAAAUAUUACCUCGGGUUAAGAACCAAGAAUCCUCCCCCCCACAAGUCACAAGUCAGAAAUGCCGUUUAAAUGACUUAAGCUGUGGAGAUAAUUUUCUAACCAAAGCAUGUUUUAAGGAGAUUGUGGAAAGCAUAAGAGCUUUGGAAUGACGCAGCAAAAAAUAGCGUCGCCAUUUUGACAAGUUCUGUUGAAAGACUUAUGUCUGGGAGGAGGAACAGAUUUGUUUUUAUAUUGUGGGUGAUCCUCCUCAGAGGGACUAAAGAAGGCGACAGAUUUGCGAGACUAAUGAUGGAAAGAGUGCUUUUAUUUAUGAAAGUGAUGAUAUAUGGAAACUAUCUCGACAUGAUGAUUGGACAAACGGAAAAAUUCACACAGGAUUAUAACUGGUGUGUUUACCUACUUAAGGAGAUUAUAAGAAGAGAUCAUAAAGAAAAAAAGAAAAAUAUACAAACAAGAUGAGAUGUGGGAACAGCAAGAUAGGACUGGAUAGAAUUAUGAACAUUAUUUGGACAGAUUUGUGGAUAUUAACGCAGCAGCAAGAAGAUGAUUGGAAUCCCCUUCGGAACUUGAAAUAUGGGUCCCCGCAACAAAUAAUUUAAUUAUUUGUAAUUCGGAAUUUAUGUGAUGUGAUUUGAUUUGAUUUGAUUGGUCAGUUAAUAAAAAAUAUAUUUUUUAAAAAAAAUAACUUUGCUUCAGGAUGAAAACAGAAAUCGCACAGCAGCGGCAGUGGGAGGCCCCAUUAGCUAAAGUGGUGAUCCAGGUUAAGAACAGUUUCAGGUUAAGAACGGACCUCCAGAACGAAUUAAGUUCUUAACCCAAGGUACCACUGUACAACAAUGACUGACUGAAUUUUACUUUAGAAUUUAAGUACUUAUAUUUGAAGAACUUGUGUAUUUCUAUCUAAGUUACUCCAAUAUAUGUAUUUUGUCCAGUUCUUUUAGCUUUUGCUUUUCCUUUCUUUUAGUUUAUCUGUGUCCUUAGGUCAAAACAUUGAUAAUUCUUCAAAUCUGGAACUGAAUAUAUUUCUGUUGAAUGCUUACAAGAGGAACAUUAUUGUCUGUUUCCAAGAUAGAAAACAAUAUCUGCCCAUGUCUUUCCCAUUCUCUCCCUCUUCCAUUUGUUAUCUUCUGAAAAGAAUGUACUCACUCAAUAGCAUUAAGGUUUCUCUUGCCGACAGACCGAAAAGCCAGUGUUUUCAUGUUAUAGACCAGCCACCCCGAACCUGGUGCCUUCCAGAUGUUUUGGACUAUAAUUCCUGACAUCUCUGCCAAUUAAACAUACUGUCUGGGGCUGGUGAGAGUUGUAGUCCAAAACAUCUCGAAGGCAAAAGUUGGAGGUUGUUAUAGAUCAUAAGCUAUAUAAAGAAAAUCCUGAAAUAGUUUCUGAUUCAGGCUUAAAUCAUUUCAAGAAUUCCUUGUGUUCCUUCUAUGUCUACAGCUAUCUUUCAUUCACAUUGAGUCUGCUGAAGAUGCUUUGGGUUAAAAUGACAAAGCAUUGUAGUACCUAAAAGACUAACAAAUUUAUUAGGAUGGUAUAAAUUUUAGAUUAGGAACAUAGGAAGCUGCCUUAUUGUAUUGUUUAUAGACUGUCUGGCAGAAGCUCACCAGUAUUUUAGACAGAUAUCUCUCCUAUUCCUCCUACCUGGGGAUGCUAGGGAUCAAAUUUAGAACCUUCUGCUUUGCAGCAAAGAUGUUCUACCACUGAACUACAGCCUUUCUUUUAAACACAAACAUGGAGAACCACUCAGAUAACUACAUAACGCAUAGGAUUAACCUGGUGUGAUUUUUUUCAUUGUGCUGCUGCCUGAUUUUAUUUAUACAUAUUUCAGAUGUGUGCCAAUGGCUUGAACAAAAUCAGUAGAGAGGAACCAAUACACAAUAAUGUCUAAUGCUUGGCCACAAUCCUUCACACACUCUAUCCCUGUGGACAUCAGAUCAUAUUCUACAAGGAAAUAUUAUUUUCUCACAGGAAAAUGUUGGGUACAAAGCAGGUGGUGAUGAAUGACCAAAGAUAGCAAAGUGUUGGUAAAUAAGUUGUCCUGACAAAAUUACAGACUUUUAUCAUGCCAUGUGUUUUCAAGUUUCAUUUGAUUACUCUCAGAGAUCACUCCACAUUUUCCCAUGAGUGCUGGGUGGAUCUACAGUUUUCUUUCACAGUUGGUGGACAAGUGUUAUUAAUGAAUGAAAGGAACUGAGACCAUCAAGACACAGCUGAC